ACAGAGACGAUCGCGACUUUUGCUUCAGCUGCUACCAGGCUAAGAUAUUUGUGAUAGGUAGGAGAAAAAGCAGAUUCGAUAACAAAGCCGCCGCCGUGAAAGUAGACGAAAAGGGGAAUUUUCUGAACCGGGUCGACAUUUUUGGGCAGGAUCAGAUUCAGGUGGGACAAAACCUUCGCCGGCCAGCCUCUCGAUUCGACCAUCUUUGUAAACUCUCAUCAAUGGGAAAAAAUCAUGUACUAUUUCCGCCAUUGCUAAAAGGUAAGUUACAAGGAAGAGAAGGUUGGUACUAUAUAUAAACUAG
rnacentral:lncRNA from 1 species